AGAUUGCGCAAUAGAAUUCUCAUAAAAUUAAAUUUAACUUCCAAGUUGAGAAAAGAGGGCAUAACAAAGAUGAACCAACAAGAGGGAACACAGAAUACUGUUAAGAAGCAUUUCUUAAUCUACAGUAGUGUGACUGUGUAAAGAUGAAAGUGAUAUACCACUUCCAUUGGAACCCAUGUAACAUACACAGAGUAUUCAGCCAAGUUCCAGACUGCAUUUCAGAUCCAAACCUGGGAGGCAUCAGACCCACCUGGAAGGAAACUGUAGGUAGUAUAGGUAGAUUGGAUAGAAACUGCUGAAAAAAGCCCAAAACUCCAGUGGGAACGACAUGGGUGACUAACCAUCCUAAUAUUCUUCUUAUCAAAUAGAAGAGUUCUAUUAGAGGGAAUAUGAGAGUUGAAUCAAAUAUGAUAGGAUCUUCAUUCACCAAAACUAAUCCUUGUAAUUAUUUUAACCACAGAGUAAGAACUAAGAAGAAAUGAAGUAAUAUUAAGUGAACAAAGAUAUUGCAAAGAAGUCAAGAAAGAGAAGAAUUCUAUGUCCUCCAGGAUUGUGGGGAUUUCAGAAAAGAAAAGACCAUUUGUUCCAGCAAGGGCCAUGAGCAGUCUGAAACGCUUCCAUUGCUUGUACUACUAAGAUCUUCAGCCUCUUUGAGACCUGGCUCACACCCUGAUGUCCCUCAGUCAUCACAAUGCAGUCUCACCAGAAACUCACAGUUAUUUUACCCAUGUGCAUUACUACCCAAGA